UUCCUGGUUUCUGUCCUUGAUUUAAUUUUCAGAUUAUCAGGUUUUGUUCAGUUUAUUGCUUGUUUAUUGAUUUAAACUUCAAUUUUUUGCUGGUUUCUGUCCUUGAUUUAAUUUUCAGAUUAUCAGGUUUUGUUAAGUUUAUUGCUUGUUUAUUGCUGGUUAUUGAUUUAAACUUCAGUUGCUGGUUUCUGUCCUUGAUUUAAUUUUCAGAUUAUCAGGUUUUGUUCAGUUUAUUGCUUGUUUAUUGCUGGUUAUUGCUUG